rnacentral:rRNA from 1 species
GAUGAACGCUGGCUGCGUGCCUAAUACAUGCAAGUCGAGCGAACGGACGAGAAGCUUGCUUCUCUGAUGUUAGCGGCGGACGGGUGAGUAACACGUGGAUAACCUACCUAUAAGACUGGGAUAACUUCGGGAAACCGGAGCUAAUACCGGAUGAUAUUUUGAACCGCAUGGUUCAAAAUUGAAAGACGGUCUUGCUGUCACUUAUAGAUGGAUCCGCGCUGCAUUAGCUAGUUGGUAAGGUAACGGCUUACCAAGGCAACGAUGCAUAGCCGACCUGAGAGGGUGAUCGGCCACACUGGAACUGAGACACGGUCCAGACUACUACGGGAGGCAGCAGUAGGGAAUCUUCCGCAAUGGGCGAAAGCCUGACGGAGCAACGCCGCGUGAGUGAUGAAGGUCUUCGGAUCGUAAAACUCUGUUAUUAGGGAAGAACAUAUGUGUAAGUAACUGUGCACAUCUUGACGGUACCUAAUCAGAAAGCCACGGCUAACUACGUG